rnacentral:lncRNA from 1 species
AUUUCCUGACCCGAGACGAAGCGUUUGUUCCUAAAGGUCUCAGGGACGGAUUACGGAAUGUACCGUACUGUAGGAGGAACAAGCAGGUGAGUCCAAGCACCUUAACAGGGAAACACACCCCAAUAGGGUCAGCUGCAGGGUGGUGGUGGCUCCAGAGGAACCUGCUGCUGACCCGGGAGGCUCUGGAGGAGGUGCAUCACAUCGUUGCUCUAGAUGGUUUCUCUCUAACGUAGAGGAGGAACAAGCAGGUGAGUCCAAGCACCUUAACAGGGAAACACACCCCAAUAGGGUCAGCUGCAGGGUGGUGGUGGCUCCAGAGGAACCUGCUGCUGACCCGGGAGGCUCUGGAGGAGGUGCAUCACAUCGUUGCUCUAGAUGGUUUCUCUCUAACGUAGAGGAGGAACAAGCAGGUGAGUCCAAGCACCUUAACAGGGAAACACACCCCAAUAGGGUCAGCUGCAGGGUGGUGGUGGCUCCAGAGGAACCUGCUGCUGACCCGGGAGGCUCUGGAGGAGGUGCAUCACAUCGUUGCUCUAGAUGGUUUCUCUCUAACGUAGAGUAA